UACCGUGUAGCUUAGCUGGUAUAGCAUUGGACCUCAAAUCCGAGGAUCUCUGGUUUGAUUCCCAGCCCGGCGG
rnacentral:tRNA from 1 species